GACGAACGCUGGCGGCGUGCCUAAUACAUGCAAGUCGAACGCAGUGGGGACGGGUGAGUAACACGUGGGUAACCUCCCAUCAGAGGGGAUAACACUUGGAAAAAGGUGCUAAACCGAUACUGAUGGAGGAAACCGGGGUGCAUUCUCUAGUUGGUGAGGUAACGGCUCACCAGGGCCACGAUGCAUAGCCGACCGGGGAGGUGGGUCGGCCACGCUGGGACUGAGACACGGCCCAGACGCCUACGUGAGGCAGCAUUAGGGAAUCUUCGGCAAUGGACGAAAGUCUGACCGAGCAACGCCGCGUGAGUGAAGAAGGUUUUCGGAUCGUAAAACUCUGUUGUUAGAGAAGCGGUAUCUAACCAGAAAGCCACGGCUAACUACGUGCAAGCAGCCGCGGUAAUAC
rnacentral:rRNA from 1 species